CCAGGCAGCUGAAGCAAGCCCAUCUCUGACACUGACUGAAUACCAAUGAAGCCAAGGUCACCUAAAGCCAAGCCAGAGGGAGAACACCACCCAGAAAAAGAUGUCACUUCUGGACCAGCAGCAAUCACCGUGGGAUGGAAACCAAAAAGUGCUUGCCACAGUUCAAUAAUGGAGGGAAGAAACAGCUGGUCUGUGCAUUUGUGAGUGAGCAGCAUUUAAUAAGGUGGUCAGAACUUCACACACUUGAUCUUGACUUCAGACCAUUGCAAAGCCAAGAACAGCAGAUGAACCCUACAGAGAUGGAGAAAAGCUGCAUGAUGGACCUUUUCAAUUUCUUCAUGCACCAAGAUGAAAGUCAAGACAGGGGCACAUGAACACUGGAAAAGAACAGGCUUUUAGCCUGCAGUCUAACCUUCUGGUUCUGGUUGUUUCUAGUGCCUUUGGCAAUUCACUGGUACAAAAGAAAAUAUUGAUUUAGAGAUCUGUCAUAGCAUUGCAUCUUCUCAUUAAAUACAGUGGGGAAAUUGAGAAUUCUGAGUAUUGAAUUUCAGAAAGGAAAAAUUUAUCAGCUACUGCAGCAGACUUUUCCAAACCAUAGAAAGUAUUAUCAAAACAUAAAUGUAAUAUCAGAGCAGUCAUGUAAUUUGAUUGGUUUUCUUCACUACCUUCCCCAUGCUCCCACACUACAGUCAGCAUUUGAGCUCUCUUGGCUCAGAAGAUGCCUGCAGCAUGGAAGAAUGAUGUGCACUUCCAGCUGUGCCCAGCUGCUCUCCAGCCAGCAAAGUGCUGUGGGGCAGACCCAUUUUUUUCGCAUUUCUACCAGCACCAGCAUUGGAGGGUGUUGGCUUUCUGAUAGUGUGAUUUUCAAGCUGUAAGUUUUUAAUUUCACUUCACAGCAGCCCAGCCAGGCACUCUCCUAAGAUGAUUAAAUGUUGGUUUUUGCCUGUUGAGCUCUGGCAGAGUGUUCCAUGAGUGCACUCAUACCGGGAAAGCUCUUAGAGCAGUUGGCUGGCUCUGUAAGUAUCCUUCCAAUGAGAACUGGAAAGGCUGCAGUAUUUAUCUUGCUGAUUUGUGGGCAUUUUUCAGAUGGGAGCCUUUGGUCACAAAAAUACCACAGACAAAGCUAAAGCAGCUGCUGUGAGACUUUCUCA